UCUCCGUUGGUGAACCAGCGGAGGGAUCAUUACAGAGUGUAAAAACUCCCAAACCCCUGUGAACCAUACCAUUCGUUGCUUCGGCGGGACCGCCCCGGGCGCCUCUGCGCGCUCCGGAACCAGGCGCCCGCCGGGGGACCCAAACUCUUGCUUUACUUUAGUGGUAUUCUCUGAGUGGCUACAAGCAAAACAAAAAUGAAUCAAAACUUUCAACAACGGAUCUCUUGGUUCUG
rnacentral:misc_RNA from 1 species